CUAGGGCUGUCGCUGACAAAAAGUCGUGCACGCCAGAGUGUCCUCUCACAUUAAAUCCAUCUCACCCUUUUGUGCACCACCGCGUGGGCACCCUUCGGGAUCGAACUGGUCCAGGAGGGGGCUUGCGUUUUCACACAAACCCUCAUUUAAAAGUGUAGAAUGACCCCAUUUUUGCGAUAACACGCAAUCAAUACAACUUUCAACAACGGAUCUCUUGGCUCUCGCAUCGAUGAAGAACGCAGCGAAAUGCGAUACGUAAUGUGAAUUGCAGAAUUCAGUGAAUCAUCGAAUCUUUGAACGCACCUUGCGCCCCUUGGUAUUCCGAGGGGCACACCCGUUUGAGUGUCGUGAAUAUCUCAACCUUCUCGGUUUCUUCUGGAUGCCGAAGGAGGCUUGGACUUUGGAGGCCUCUGCUGGCAUCUUUUGAAGGCCAGCUCCUCUCAAAUGAAUUAGCGGGGUCCUCUUUGCCAACCCUCGACAUGUGAUAAGAUGUUUCCAUGUCUUGGUUUAUGGCUCUGUUGCUUUUGGGACCCGCUUCUAAUCGUCUCAAUGACAACGUUUGAGAGCGUCUCUCCUUCUCGGG
rnacentral:rRNA from 1 species